GGAAAGGUGGCAGAGUGGUUAAAUGCACCAAUUUUGAAAAUUGGCGUGGCGCAAGUCACCGAGGGUUCGAAUCCCUCCCUUUCCG
rnacentral:tRNA from 1 species